rnacentral:rRNA from 1 species
CAGAGGAAGGAGUUUGGAGGCAAUGAACGCCCUUCGGGGUCUCUGUGAAGGUGCUGCAUGGUUGUCGUCAGCUCGUGCCGUGAGGUGUCGGCUUAAGUGCCAUAACGAGCGCAACCCCUCUCCUUAGUUGCCAUCAGGUCAAGCUGGGCACUCUGGGGACACUGCCACCGUAAGGUGUGA